rnacentral:rRNA from 1 species
UACGGAGGAUGCAAGCGUUAUCCGGAAUGAUUGGGCGUAAAGCGUCCGCAGGUGGCAAUGUAAGUCUGCUGUUAAAGAGUCUAGCUCAACUAGAUACAAGCAGUGGAAACUACAUAGCUAGAGUACGUUCGGGGCAGAGGGAAUUCCUGGUGUAGCGGUGAAAUGCGUAGAGAUCAGGAAGAACACCGGUGGCGAAGGCGCUCUGCUAGGCCGUAACUGACACUGAGGAGCGAAAGCGUGGGGAGCGAACAGG